rnacentral:rRNA from 1 species
GAUGAACGCUAGCUACAGGCUUAACACAUGCAAGUCGCGGGGCAUCAUGGAGGUUGCUUGCAAUUUCUGAUGGCGACCGGCGCACGGGUGAGUAACGCGUAUCCAACCUUCCCAUUACUACGGCAUACCCCGUUGAAAGGCGGCCUAAUUCCGUAUGCAGUCCGAAGCAGUCAUCUAAUUUGGACGAAAGGUAUAUUCUAUCGGUAAUGGAUGGGGAUGCGUCCGAUUAGCCAGCCGGCGGGGUAACGGCCCACCGGGGCAUUGAUCGGUAGGGGUUCUGAGAGGAAGGUCCCCCACACUGGAACUGAGACACGGUCCAGACUCCUACGGGAGGCAGCAGUGAGGAAUAUUGGUCAAUGGGCGUAAGCCUGAACCAGCCAAGUAGCGUGCAGGAUGACGGCCCUAUGGGUUGUAAACUGCUUUUAUGCGGGGAUAAAGUUGGGGACGUGUCCCUUUUUGCAGGUACCGCAUGAAUAAGGACCGGCUAAUUCCGUGCCAGCAGCCGCGGUAAUACGGAAGGUCCGGGCGUUAUCCGGAUUUAUUGGGUUUAAAGGGAGCGUAGGCAGUUUUUUAAGCGUGCUGUGAAAUGUACCGGCUCAACCGGUGAUGUGCAGCGCGAACUGGGAAUCUUGAGUACGCAGUAAGCAGACGGAAUUCGUGGUGUAGCGGUGAAAUGCUUAGAUAUCACGAAGAACUCCGAUUGCGUAGGCAGCUUGCUGUAGCGUAACUGACGCUGAAGCUCGAAAGUGCGGGUAUCGAACAGG